ACCUGCCAAGCUCAAGCAAUUCUCCUGCCUCAGCCUCCCACGUUGCUGGGAUUACAGGAUGCUGGUGAUUUCCAGGAAGUGACCUCACAAUGACUCAAGCUACCACUUACUGUUGAUUGUGGUGAAAGGCCAGGUGAAGCAUUUGCCCUGCAAGCUUAGGGGUGCUACAGUUGACCACUGCCGCAGUAAAGAUGACUCUGAAGAAUGGCAUGGGAUGGAUCCUUUCGAAUGCACUUGAGCAGUGGUCUCCAACCACAGGGCCAUAGAACCGGAGCUGGAUCAACCAUGAAAGACUUCUGAAUCCAGGAAGAGAGACUGACUGAGCAACAUGUUAUUCAGGAGAUGAGGUCUCACCCUGUCACCCAGGCUGGAGUACAGUAGUACUAUCACAA